UACGUAGGGGGCGAGCGUUAUCCGGAUUUACUGGGUGUAAAGGGAGCGUAGACGGCGUCGCAAGUCUGAAGUGAAAGCCCGUGGCUCAACCGCGGAACCGCUUUGGAAACUGUGAGGCUGGAGUGCUGGAGAGGUAAGCGGAAUUCCUGGUGUAGCGGUGAAAUGCGUAGAUAUCAGGAGGAACACCGGUGGCGAAGGCGGCUUACUGGACAGUGACUGACGUUGAGGCUCGAAAGCGUGGGGAGCGAACAGG
rnacentral:rRNA from 1 species